ACUCAUUUUUUUAGUCGUGUUUUUGGUCUCCGCGUUUUCGUUGAGAAAAUCUUGAUUAUGGAUUGUCUUGAGCUUUGGGGAAUUGUUCCUAUUACCGUGCAUUUGUUAAAUAAGUCGGUCCACGCGCAAAUGAAGUGUGAUUUAGAUGCUUUGAGGCGUCCAGAGUAGAAGUUGUCAGAUGCUGAGUCUUUUCUGUCUUAAUGCUAGAGGUGCCAGAUGAAGGCAUGUGGUUAUGUCAUGACAUCCAUCAUUCAGAAUGUCAUCAGUACAUGAAACACACAGCACAUUUCAAUAUACUCAACGAUCAAACAGUGAAGAAGAACGGCUUGCAAAGUUGCAUAGAAUCUUGCACUCAUUAGCAACCCGAAUCCCACGGGUUUUACUGAAGAGAGUUGAAGAAGUAUACCCAGCACUGAAUUUGAAUGUGAAAGAAAAUUCUGGACCUGGGAGUACAUUAGUGAGCAACGCAGAAUGUGAAACUGAAGAACAUAAAUGUGUUCCAAAGAAUUUUACUCAGCGUGUAGAAUCAGAACCAGAAAACAGGAAUGAGGAAUCCAGAAGCUUUGAUAAAUGCAGAAAAAUAAAACGUGAAUUACAAAAAUGUAAAAAAGACAGGCGUUACUCGUGUGACUUUUGUAACAAGAAGUUAACUAAACAUUACCUCAAAAGACACAUGCUGUACCACACUGGCAGCCUGCCCUACACCUGUACAGUGUGUUCAAGACAGUUUCCCUUCAACUCGAAUCUGAGGUUACAUUACCAAAGAAAACAUAGGAUGAAGUAGUAAUGGGACUGAUACAUCAAACACAGGAACCAGAUUCACAGUUUACUCAGAAGACAAAGUUCCCUCUUACAAAAAUGUAAAAAAGACGGGCGUUACUCGUGUGACUUUUGUAACAAGAAGUUAACUAAACAUUACCUCAAAAGACACAUGCUGUACCACACUGGCAGCCUGCCCUACACCUGUACAGUGUGUUCAAGACAGUUUCCCUUCAACUCGAAUCUGAGGUUACAUUACCAAAGAAAACAUAGGAUGAAGUAGUAAUGGGACUGAUACAUCAAACACAGGAACCAGAUUCACAGUUUACUCAGAAGACAAAGUUCCCUCUUAGUUUUCGUAUCCUUAAGCCAAAUUGCUUUAGACAAACGAUAAUACUCAUGAUGACAAAUGGAGAUGAAUUUUACGAAAAACAUUGAAAAGUUGACAGAGUAAACUAUUUUAUCCCCGAAUGCUGAGUGACAAGUAGAGCACUAUCUGCUGUGUUGUGAAGCCGUGUAGACUGGUAGGGUCACAGAGUAAGACCACUAGGUUCUGCUUGCUUGCUUUGCAGGUCUCGCCCUUUGACCUUGAAGAUGGAUGCAGUGUGUUCCUUGUACUAGGCUGCAUGGUAUCACAUCUUCAUAGUCACCAUUGUGAGAAUAUCAGAUCUCAGACAUGUUGGGAACUUUCUGAUAUUCUGUUUUUGUUAAUCAUAUUUAUGUUUAUAUUCAGUAAUUUUUUUUUUUGAGGCUUUAUGUUGGGAUGACCACAAAGAUCGCUUGAAAGACUAUGUUACGAAGUUGCAUAUGAUUGGACUUUGUUUGUACAACUUAAGACUGAUGUUGAAACUUAUCUGUUUUGUCUUGAACAGUAUCAAUGAAGUCUGAUAAUAAGACUACAUGCCAGUGAUAUAUAUAUAUAUGUAUAGAAUAUGAGCAAAUUUA